AAAUGUAGUCAUGAGUCAGAACCAAAGCUAAUUUGCUUUUCUUCUAGGAGUUAGGGAAACUUGUCCUCUGAUCUGGUUUGUGUUUAACUGAAAUACACCAGUGUCUCAAAACUAACGAUGACUAUAUAUCAUAAAGCUUUUAUAAAAACACCAACAAUCAUCUCUAUUAUUCUGUAUGUGUUAACACUUAACUUGUCAUUCAAAACUGUCACAUGGGCGACAACUACAGCAGGUAACGUACUCUGUUGCUGACUGGUGUGUGGUCUGGAUAUGCAUGACUGUGAUCAGAAGUGAAUUUCGAUCAAAGGCCAAAGAAACUCCAAAUACA
rnacentral:lncRNA from 1 species